rnacentral:rRNA from 1 species
UACGAAGGGGGCUAGCGUUGCUCGGAAUCACUGGGCGUAAAGCGCACGUAGGCGGACUCUUAAGUCGGUGGUGAAAUCCUGGAGCUCAACUACAGAACUGCCUUCGAUACUGGGAGUCUCGAGUCCGGGAGAGGUGAGUGGAACUGCGAGUGUAGAGGUGAAAUUCGUAGAUAUUCGCAAGAACACCAGUGGCGAAGGCGGCUCACUGGCCCGGUACUGACGCUGAGGUGCGAAAGCGUGGGGAGCAAACAGG